UAUUAAUUGCAAAAGGAUUGGUUAGGACUAAACAAACAACCUCUUGUCUGUUUUGUCUUAACCAGUCCUUCUGCAAUCCACA
rnacentral:pre_miRNA from 1 species